ACAAAGGUGGCUUCCAUAGGUCAUAGUGGUUAUCAGCUGUGCCUCCCUCUUAGAGGUCCUCGGAGUCCGGAGUCCUUGAAGGGAAAUCUGACACAAUGAAGCAGGUGUGAGACCGGCCCCUUUCUCCCAUGCUUUAGACAGGGCUCCAGGGACUGCUUCAGGGGAGAUGUCAGAUGGCAGCCAGACCGGGAAGGGAGGAAGAAAGCAGAGUGACAGUGAGAGGGGGAAAACUACAAGAGGAAUUGUUUGUAUGCUUGGAUCUGGACUUUUAGAGCUGGUCAGGACCUGACAGAUCCUCCAGCCCAGUUCUCCCGGCUCUCAAACACUGGUAUCAUUUGUGAUUCCCUGGAAAAUCACCAGCAGGUAAAUGAAGGAGAAAAGAAAAGAACAAAAUCCACCGGGAACCAGAGACUUCCAGGCUCCAAAGACAGGCAAUCUCCACCAGGAACUUCUUCUAAACAGCAUUGAAAAUGGGAGGAAGAUGCCAUAAAAG
rnacentral:lncRNA from 1 species